UACGGGGGGAGCAAGCGUUGUUCGGAUUUACUGGGCGUAAAGGGCGCGUAGGCGGCCACCGCAAGUCGGUUGUGAAAUCUCUGGGCUUAACCCAGAAAGGUCAACCGAUACUGCGGGGCUAGAGUGCAGAAGGGGCAACUGGAAUUCUCGGUGUAGCGGUGAAAUGCGUAGAUAUCGAGAGGAACACCUGCGGCGAAGGCGGGUGCUGGGCUGACACUGACGCUGGAAGCGCGAAAGCUAGGGGAGCGAACAGG
rnacentral:rRNA from 1 species